rnacentral:rRNA from 1 species
UACGUAGGGUGCAAGCGUUGUCCGGAAUUAUUGGGCGUAAAGAGCUCGUAGGCGGUUUGUCACGUCGGAUGUGAAAACUCGGGGCUUAACCCCGAGCCUGCAUACGAUACGGGCAGACUUGAGUUCGGCAGGGGAGACUGGAAUUCCUGGUGUAGCGGUGAAAUGCGCAGAUAUCAGGAGGAACACCGGUGGCGAAGGCGGGUCUCUGGGCCGAUACUGACGCUGAGGAGCGAAAGCGUGGGGAGCGAACAGG